rnacentral:lncRNA from 1 species
CGGCCGCCCGUAAUUAAAUAGCAUUUACUCUUAUUAUUACUAAUAAUAAUAACGUAAUCAUACCUCUAGUCAUAGCAUACCAUUUAUCGGGCUCGGCGCAGGCCCGCGGGGAGCGCAGCCCGGCCGAGACACUGAUGGAGAGGCAGAAACGGAAGGCGGACAUCGAGAAGGGGCUGCAGUUCAUUCAGUCGACACUACCCCUAAAGCAAGAGGAGUAUGAGGCUUUCCUGCUCAAGCUUGUGCAGAACCUGUUUGCCGAGGGCAACGACCUCUUCCGGGAGAAGGACUACAAGCAGGCUCUGGUGCAGUACAUGGAAGGGCUGAACGUGGCUGACUACGCCGCCUCGGACCAGGUGGCUCUACCCCGGGAGCUGCUGUGCAAGCUGUAUGUCAACAGGGCUGCCUGCUACUUCACCAUGGGCCUGUAUGAGAAGGCGCUGGAGGACAGUGAGAAGGCCUUGGGCCUGGAUGGCGAGAGUAUCCGGGCACUGUUCCGCAAGGCGCGCGCCCUCAACGAGCUGGGGCGCCACAAGGAGGCCUAUGAAUGCAGCAGCCGGUGCUCCCUGGCUCUCCCCCACGAUGAAAACGUCACUCAGCUGGGUCAGGAGCUGGCUCAGAAGCUCGGGCUGCGGGUGCGGAAGGCGUAUAAGAGACCCCAGGAAUUGGAAACGUUUUCUCUGCUUAGUAAUGGCGCCCCGGCUGGCUUAACAGAUCAGGGAACUUCUAACGGAUUGGGAUCGAUAGAUGACAUAGAAACAGACUGCUACGUGGAUCUCCGAGGCUCCCCAGCCCUGCUCCC